GGGCCCGUAGCUUAGAUCGGCUGGAGCGCCCGGCUGAUAACCGGGAGGUCAUGCGUUCAAAUCGCAUCGGGCCCA
rnacentral:tRNA from 1 species